UACGGAGGGUGCAAGCGUUAACCGGAAUUACUGGGCGUAAAGCGCCCGCAGGCGGCUUUUUGAGUCUGUUGUCAAAGCCCCCGGCUCAACUCGGGAACUGCAUUGGAAACUGGGGAGCUAGAGUGUUGUAGGGGGAGGGAGAAUUCCCGGUGUAGCGGUGAAAUGCGUAGAUAUGGGGAAGAACACCAGUGGCGAAGGCGGUCUCCUGGGCCAAAACUGACGCUGAGGUGCGAAAGCGUGGGGAGCGAACGGG
rnacentral:rRNA from 1 species